rnacentral:tRNA from 1 species
GUAGACGUGGGCUUGGUUCACCACCUUGUUUGGAACGAGGAAUCCGUAGGUUCGAAUCCUACUGCCCGCAC